UACGUAGGGUGCGAGCGUUAAUCUGAAUUACUGGGCGUAAAGCGUGCGCAGGCGGUUUGGUAAGACAGAUGUGAAAUUCCCGGGCUUAACCUGGGAACUGCAUUUGUGACUGCCAGGCUAGAGAGCGGCAGAGGGGAGUGGAAUUCCGCGUGUAGCAGUGAAAUGCGUAGAUAUGCGGAGGAACACCGAUGGCGAAGGCAACUCCCUGGGCCUGCACUGACGCUCAUGCAAGAAAGCGUGGGGAGCAAACAGG
rnacentral:rRNA from 1 species